rnacentral:rRNA from 1 species
CCUGCUAAAUAGCCCGUAUUGCUUUGGCAGUACACUGGCUUCUUAGAGGGACUAUCGGUGACUAACCGAUGGAAGUUUGAGGCAAUAACAGGUCUGUGAUGCCCUUAGAUGUUCUGGGCCGCACGCGCGCUACACUGACAGAGACAUCGAGUUAGUAGCCUUGGUCCGGAAGG